AGAAGAUGGUAAGGGCAAACGGUGGAUGCCUUGGCACAAGAAGCCGAUGAAGGACGUGAUAAGCUGCGAUAAGCCACGGUAAGGUGCACAUAACCUGUGACCCGUGGAUUUCCGAAUGGGAAAACCCACUAGAUUUAAUCGUCUAGUACUUCUCGCUGAAUAUAUAGGCGAAGAGGAGGUAACCGGGGGAACUGAAACAUCUCAGUACCCCGAGGAAGAGAAAUCAAACGAGAUUCCCCUAGUAGUGGCGAGCGAACGGGGAUAUAGGACAAACCGGAAGUUGCGCAAGCGCUUUCGGGGUUGUAGGACCACACACUACAGAAGUUACAAAACAUCGUGGAAGCAAAACGGCAUGGAAAGGUCGGCCAAAGAGGGUUAAAGCCCCGUACGCGAAUCUGCGAUGUCUUCUCGUGUGGCACCUGAGUACUGCCGGACACGUGAAACCC
rnacentral:rRNA from 1 species